AUACCUUUCUCGGCCUUUUGGCUAAGAUCAAGUGUAGUAUCUCUUCUUAUCAGUUUAAUAUCUGAUAUGUGGGCCAUGUGCCCACAACGAUAUUAAAUUUAUUUUUUAUGGAGGAGAUACCAUCACAAUGGCUUGCCAUUGGGUCUCUUAGAUGUUGAUGGCUUGCCAUUGGGUCCCUUAGGUGUUUCCCAGUGUGUUGCACUACUGCCCAGGCUGGCACACCCCAA
rnacentral:snRNA from 1 species